rnacentral:rRNA from 1 species
GGAUUGAAGGCUGAAAUUCGCCUUCAUGAAGCCGGAAUUGCUAGUAAUGGCAGGUCAGCAUACUGCCGUGAAUACGUUCCCGGGCCUUGUACACACCGCCCGUCACACCAUGAGAGUUGGGAAUACCCGAAGCCUGUGAGCCAACUGUAAAGAGGCAGCAGUCGAAGGUAGAAUCAAUGAUUGGGGUGAAGUCGUAACAAGGUAGC